UGUUUCCGCGGGUCGGCGUCUCCCUCGAAUCGGCAAAACACCAGGGGAACGCUCCCCCGAGUCGCGACCCCGGGCAAGUUUCCCCACGGGCGGGGCGACGAAAUCACCGCUCUGCUCCGACGUCCAGCUCUACUCGCGAGCAGGACAUCACCGCGCGUCCACCAUCUCUGGCUUGCUGUCCUCCGCGCGUCAUCUCCAUCCCUGGCUUGAGGUAUUCAACUAUGUUCUCCCUCUUCUCGUACCAUACAUACUAGCUAGGGUUUUGAAUAAUUCUGAUCGGCGAUCUGGUGGCGGCGUCCGGUCCGCUGUUUGCUGCUGGUGUGGUGGUACGUUGGCGUCGUGCGUGUGUCUCACUGAGCUCGUCCGUUCGGACGACCGGCCGAUUCGUCAUGUCUGCAUCUGCGUCCUUGUCUGCAUCUGCGUCCUUGUCUGCGUUCGGCCGGCCGGCCGGUUCGGACGAUGACGACGGAGGUGGCCAUGUCUGCAUCUGUGUCCUUAUCGUUGGGCGAGUGGUCAGAGUCAGAGAUUCCCUGAGCCGAGAUUAGCUUGUUUUAUCCGUUGAAAACUACUUAUCCAUGGUUUUAUCGCAUUGUUCUGCGCUGUUUUAGUUUUCAAUGAUAAGCUGGCAACUACUUAUCAUUUUUAGAUUAGCUUGCUCAACUAAACUCAGUACAAGACUGACUCUCUUCCAAGAUCCGAGCCUUGGACUCUCCAAGAUCCAAACUAUUUUAGUUUUCAGACUGUUUUAGUUUUCAGACUGUAUACACGGAAAAAGGUUAGCUGUUAAAUCUAAAACCUUUACUAAACUUUACUAAACUAUCAUAUGUUUUAGUUUUCAUAUUGUUCAAAUAUAACAGCUAACCUUUACUAAACUUCAGCCGACAGUUAUUUGUAUUUUCCAUUUGACAAUUUUCCAUUUGAUCAGCCAGAAGUUCUGUUCGAUAAGUCAGGACGCCGCAUACACCUACAACAUUUUCUGUUCUAAAAUGAAGUGGCCAAUAACAUAAUUUAUAAACUAAACUCAGUACAAGACUGACUCUCUUCCAAGAUCCGAGCCUUGGACUCUCCAAGAUCCAAACUAUUUUAGUUUUCAGACUGUUUUAGUUUUCAGACUGUAUACACAGAAAAAGGUUAGCUGUUAAAUCUAAAACCUUUACUAAACUUUACUAAACUAUCAUAUGUUUUAGUUUUCAGAUUGUUCAAAUAUAACAGCUAACCUUUACUAAACUUCAGCCGGCAGACUGUGCACAAAUAGAAAGUGAACAAGGGUCGGCAGACUGUGCUCUAUAAUCCUGAGAAGGGAAGAUUUGUUCAAAUAGAAAGUGAACAAUUGUUUAAUAUAGAUCCCGACAACUUUAUCCACAAAUUGCAUUGCUAAAUCUAAAACUGUAACCUUUACUAAACUGUAACCUUUGCUGAACUAAACUGUAACCUUUGCUGAAUUUAUAAUCUUGAGUAGCCUUGGACAUAUGACAUAUAAAUUCAACCAGUACAAGGGUCGUUAAUACGCUUCAGCCGGGAAGGCGUUUGUUAUUAUCUUUGCGAUUGUUAUUAUCUUUACGAUAUUUUCCAUUGCUUAUCAUGCCUUUUGCUAUGAUUAUGUGUUGCUUAUAUAGUUUCUCAAUUUCUCUAGAUAUGGGUUCUUGGGAAGAGCUAGCUAGGCAGUUUUUGUUGGAGGAAGAAGAAGACGAUGAGGAGUUUUUCUUUAUUCUUCUCCCUGCUAUACUUCCAUUCCUCUCUGAAGAGAAAAGGUCUAUCCAUACCUCCUCUCUCUCUGGUGCCCAAAAGGUUAAGGAGAUUCUUGAAGGGCAUGAGAGUUGGUGCAAGUCCGAGUUUCGAAUGGAGCCAGAAAUAUUUAGAGCCACAUCAGAAUUCCUUAGAAGAGAGGGUUUGUUACGUGAUACACGAGGAGUUAACGUCGAAGAGCAGCUUGGGAUGUUUAUGUAUAUGAUCUCCCACAAUGCCAGUAACCAAAUGCUUCAAAAGGCUUUCCAACAUAGUGGAGAGACUAUCCAUCGAAAAAUAUCAGAAGUUUUCGAUAUAGUUCCCACUCUAACUCAGCGAUUCGUGAAGCUUCCCAAUUCUAUCCAGACACAUCCAAAAAUUAUAACUGAUUCUAGGUUCAUGCCCUUUUUUUAGGUGACCUAUCAAUAGUAAACAUGAUUUCCUUAACUUUUUCCCUUUAACAUGCCCUAAAUUUCCUCUCCUUUUAUACAGAAUUGCAUUGGAGCAAUUGACGGAACCCAUGUACCUAUCACCAUUGCAGAAGAUAAGGCUCCUCCUUACCGAAAUAGGAAAGGGUCACUUUCACAAAACGUGAUGUUGGCAUGUGAGGUGAAUGUGGCGAUGAAGAGAUGGGCUUACAG
rnacentral:lncRNA from 1 species